CAUCGGUCCCCCCGCAACGAUUACCCGUGAACCUGGUCAGAGCCGGAAGGCAGCAGCCACAGCGGGAACAUU
rnacentral:SRP_RNA from 1 species